GGUUGUGGCUCAGUGGCAGAACGCCUGCCUCGUACAUGUGAGGCACUGAGUUCGAUCCUCAGCACCA
rnacentral:tRNA from 1 species